ACGGGUUACCGCUAGGGGUGUUAUAAUAAAAGGUGCUCGCUCUUGGCGCGCUUUCUCUUUCGCUCGGAGUCGCCGGAUGGAAGACAAGGCUGCGGAGCGGAGAGCGCGGAAGGCGGCGGCGGCGCGCUACAAUGCAGUGCGACGGGUUACCGCUAGGGGGUGUUAUAAUAAAAGGUGCUCGCUCUUGGCGCGCUUUCUCUUUCGCUCGGAGUCGCCGGAUGGAAGACAAGGCUGCGGAGCGGAGAGCGCGGAAGGCGGCGGCGGCGCGCUACAAUGCAGUGCGACGGGUUACCGCUAGGGGGUGUUAUAAUAAAAGGUGCUCGCUCUUGGCGCGCUUUCUCUUUCGCUCGGAGUCGCCGGAUGGAAGACAAGGCUGCGGAGCGGAGAGCGCGGAAGGCGGCGGCGGCGCGCUACAAUGCAGUGCGACGGGUUACCGCUAGGGGGUGUUAUAAUAAAAGGUGCUCGCUCUUGGCGCGCUUUCUCUUUCGCUCGGAGUCGCCGGAUGGAAGACAAGGCUGCGGAGCGGAGAGCGCGGAAGGCGGCGGCGGCGCGCUACAAUGCAGUGCGACGGGUUACCGCUAGGGGGUGUUAUAAUAAAAGGUGCUCGCUCUUGGCGCGCUUUCUCUUUCGCUCGGAGUCGCCGGAUGGAAGACAAGGCUGAGGAGCGGAGAGCACGGA